rnacentral:RNase_P_RNA from 2 species
UCAGCCGGCCGGGCGGCCGCUCCCGACCAAUGCCGAAAGGCGGCGGGAGAGGAAAGUCCGGGCUCCACGGAGAAACGGUGCCGGAUAACGUCCGGCGGGGGAAACCCUAGGGACAGUGCCACAGAAAACAGACCGCCCCGCCUAUAGUGCGGCUCGACGGCGCGAAAAGGCGCCUCAAGACGAGCCGCAGUGUUGGCGGGGUAAGGGUGAAACGGUGGGGUAAGAGCCCACCGCGUCUCCGGUAACGGCGACGGCAGGGCAAACCCCACCGGGAGCAAAACCGAAUAGGGACGACGCGAUCGGCUUUGCGCGCAUGUGCGGGUGCGGUCAGCCUGUCUCCGGGCCAGUCGUCCGGGUUGGUUGCUCGAGGCGUCUCGCAAGAGCCGUCCCAGAGGAAUGGUCGCCCAGCGGCGCUUGGCGCUGCGGACAGAACCCGGCUUACAGGCCGGCUGACAUC